CCUACGGGAGGCAGCAGUGGGGAAUAUUGGGCAAUGGGCGCAAGCCUGACCCAGCAACGCCGCGUGAAGGAAGAAGGCUUUCGGGUUGUAAACUUCUUUUAAGAGGGAAGAGCAGAAGACGGUACCUCUUGAAUAAGCCACGGCUAACUACGUGCCAGCAGCCGCGGAAAUACGUAGGUGGCAAGCGUUGUCCGGAUUUACUGGGUGUAAAGGGCGUGCAGCCGGGAAGACAAGUCAGAUGUGAAAUCCCGGGGCUCAACCGCGGAACUGCAUUUGAAACUGUUUUUCUUGAGGACCGGAGAGGUCAUCGGAAUUCCUUGUGUAGCGGUGAAAUGCGUAGAUAUAAGGAAGAACACCAGUGGCGAAGGCGGAUGACUGGACGGCAACUGACGGUGAGGCGCGAAAGCGUGGGGAGCAAACAGGAUUAGAUACCCUUGUAGUC
rnacentral:rRNA from 1 species